GAGCGCGUGCUGUGGACAGACAUUUUUGGAAACACCUCGCGUCGAUGUUUUUCUUUUAUCAUACAUGACGUUCUGGCUUAUUUGCUUAGUUAAUUGGAAUAAACUAGGAUUUUUUUUUCUCCACAUACUAACCGACAUACUGACGUUCCACCCACGGUCAGAAAAUGGUUAAAUAAGUGCGCACAUUGCGCAGUGCUCAUUAGGCGCCUCUUCUGAUGACCAGUGCGGGAAUCAGCUCAAAAGACGGUUCCAGCUGUAUGCUUACCAGUUUGCCAGUCAUCAACUGUGUACUUUGAAUAUAAUAUCACACCUGCAAGAUUCCUGCUAUACCACAGACAGGAAAAACCAUGCAACACCAGCAGAGGGCGAUCCAACAUGUUGUUGGAUGAAUAGUCACUUUCAUGGGAAAAACCAUGCAACACCAGCAGAGAGCGAACUGUUGUUGGAUGAAUAGUCACUUUCAUGGGCCACCCAGAACCCUCUUCUGAUGGCAAAAACAGAACAUCAUAAGGCCACUGCUUACACCAUGGGAGAGCAUCAAUGAGGUACGUACACCACACCUCGGCUAGGUAAUGUAUACUUUGUGUGAGACAGAGAGACAUCUAAUCCAGAAAAUGAAAGAGAAAUAGCCCCCAGUAGGUGUGGCCCAACACCCAACUCCACCACAUGCUUAGACACGAGACUAGGCCAUGGGGUACACAGAGCAAAGCGGGAGCAGCAGGAGCUCAGUGUAAAGAGAUAACAGCCUGAGUGGAUGCAAGCUAAAUCUAGCCCUCCAGCCAUAUCAGAGUUUUCACACCUCUACCAAAGGCACACUCUGGGGUUUGACUCAACCAGGAAGCCAGAUGUAGUCGAAAUGCAGCAUUAGCUCAGUGCAAAGCAUAGAGGACCAGCAUGAAACAAGUGUGCAGAGGACUGAUCACAAUGGAGGUUAUGCACACUUGGGACAUGGUUCAACACUCUCACUUACUGUAUGUACUGGAACAUGAAAAUUGUUCCUGAAAUUGACCACAGGGGGCAGUGAUUUUCAUUUUCACCUUUUUGUUCACAAUAGUUCCCAAGUAAGUAACAGUGGCAGGAAGAUGCCAGGGAAGUGAGGCCCCACUUGACGUGACAUGUUUAACCCUUUAAUGCCUGGACAGUUUUUAAUAUGGAUGAAGAGGUGUAAGCUAUUACAUGAGGUUAUUUCUCAUGUAAAAAACAUACAUCUCUGUAAAAAAAGUGUGUAAGGAUAUAUAAAUCUGCUUUAGUGAGGGCAUAUAUUACUUUUUGAGUACUUAAUCCAGCCAUCCUU